rnacentral:rRNA from 1 species
UACGUAGGGGGCAAGCGUUGUCCGGAUUUAUUGGGCGUAAAGAGCGCGUAGGCGGCCAUACAGGUCAGCUGUGAAAACUCGAGGCUCAACCUCGAGACGUCGGUUGAAACCGUAUGGCUAGAGUCCGGAAGAGGAGAGUGGAAUUCCCGGUGUAGCGGUGAAAUGCGCAGAUAUCGGGAAGAACACCUAUGGCGAAGGCAGCUCUCUGGGACGGUACUGACGCUGAGACGCGAAAGCGUGGGGAGCAAACAGG